UACGGGGGGGGCAAGCGUUGUUCGGAAUUACUGGGCGUAAAGGGCUCGUAGGCGGCCAACUAAGUCAGACGUGAAAUCCCUCGGCUUAACCGGGGAACUGCGUCUGAUACUGGAUGGCUUGAGUCCGGGAGAGGGAUGCGGAAUUCCAGGUGUAGCGGUGAAAUGCGUAGAUAUCUGGAGGAACACCGGUGGCGAAGGCGGCAUCCUGGACCGGCACUGACGCUGAUGAGCGAAAGCCAGGGGAGCAAACGGG
rnacentral:rRNA from 1 species